UAACUGUAGCUCAAGUGGGACAACAUCUGCUUCGCAUGCAGAAGGCCACAGGUUCAAUUCCUGGCUUCUCCCAGUAGAA